GCCUUUGUAGAUUGCGGGAUCAUCUUCUUCAUAUCAUGCAGUCACAGAAAUAUGAAGACAGUGUGGGUUCGACUCCCACCGAAGGCA